ensembl:lncRNA
GAUAAUGUGGUCCAGUAGACGAGUAAUUGGAAUUGUCCCAGAGAGGACAGAAGAGUAGAUGACAAAUAAAUGAGUCCAUGUCAUUUGCAGUGAACUACAUUUUGUUUCAGUGAACAAAUGUGCUACAAGUUUUCAGUCUGACUCCUCAAGAGGAGGGGAAAUACCUGAAUAACUCUCAGGCAAAACGGAAUGCCUGGGAAGGAAUUCACCACUACAAGAGAGAGACUGGAAAUUUCAGAGCCUGCAGUUCAAAGUGCCUGAUACUGCUUGGAAGGCAAUGUGGUUCCUUCCUGCUGACCUCAGUUCUGCUGAGUGUGAGAUUUGCAAGGGGCGGUCACUUUAAAAUCUGCAAACAUACCUUCAUUUUGUCCUUCUACUGAUUAUUUCUCUGGAGGAAAAACAAGAACACUGUUGGGAUAAGCAUUAAAGGCAAUGUUAAAAGUUUAAUUUCAGUAUGGUUCAGAAUUGAGAGGAAGUUAGAGAUCUGAGGGUUUUCGCAAGCUGCACAAUCCUAUUAACCUUCAUACCCAGACUUUUACAUAAAGUCACACUGACACAGACAAGAGGACAGAAAGUGCUACUAUAAAACCGUAGCCCUUGAUCUUAUGUCAAUUACACCAAGAAAAGUAUAUUUUAGCAUUAUAACCAUUUCCAUUAUCUUUCCCCUGUUUUGUUGUUGCUUUGUUUUUAAACAGCCACCCUUAAAAGUGCUGAUCUCUCCUCUGGUGACAGCAACAGGACCUGAGGGAAGGGCAUGGAGAUGCCUUGGGGGAGGUCAGGCUGGGCAUUAUAAAAAAUUUCUUCACCAGAGGGCAGUGGGCAUGGGCUCCCAGGAGCAUUUGGAUACUACUUUCACACACAGGGUUUGAAUUCUGUGUGGUGCUGUGUGGAGCCAGGAUUUGCACUCAGUGAUCCUUUCAUAAUUAGAUGAAAAGAAAAAUCAUCUUCUUGAACACUGUGGCCUGUGCCAACGAUUACCAACUGAAGAGAUAGAAGGCAAAGAAGAAACUGCCAGAGGAAAUUCUUGUAGUGCAUUCACACUACAGCCUGUUAUUUGCAUUUGGGGAGUAGUGUUCUCAACACACCAAAAUGUUGCGAUCUCCUACAGAGAGAGAAUGAAGAUGAAUGGCUUUGGUUGGUGUAUCGAACCCAUUGCAAGAUUCUACUGGAGAAGAAAGCAGAGAGAAAUGGGAAAGGAAGCCUUCAGAGCAAACCUUGGUUUUGACUGAAGCAGUUCUGCAGCUUUUGGAAAUCUUAGCAGUUCCAGGAGCAAGGAACAUAACACUUAUGUCUUCUUAUGAAGAUGGCUGAAAUGCAGUGACUUCUGUUGCAAGACAGGAAAAUCACUUCAAGAUAAAAUGUCUGCUAAUUGUUACAUUCUUACUGUCAAUCUGUUGUCUUAAAUCAAAUCUUGUUCUAGAAAGCAAGCACUUUACAAUGAAUUUAAAAUAUAUUAAAUAAACGUUCAAGCCUAUGGCACUGGAUUAUAGACUACUGAGUUUCCUUGUGAGUAAAAAAUAGUAAGAGUUGUUUAUUCUAUUUCAAAUCAUAACACUAUUCCAAGAUAUGUUUCUUUACAGGGACAUGCAAGAUUAAGUUUAAACAAAAUUCAGACAAUUCAACAUUAUUAACACUGAUCUAUUGAUACAAAAAUGCCCAAGAGAAAGGAACUAUUUAAUUUGCUGAAGAGCUCUAAUAAGAUGUAUUAAUCAAACAUAUCUAGAUUUAGCUGAAAUACUUUUUUAUAUCAAAAGUAUUAGUAGUAUUGAAAAGCAACGUUAGUUACUUUUAUAUGUAUAUAAAAAGCAUGCAGAUGCAUGCAUCCCCCUUACUUUCUAUGUUUCUUACUUAUUCAUAGACUUCUUCUGUUCUGUUUCCUUCCAAUGCCAAC